GCGUUUCGCAUUUGCCCCUUGGCCCUGGUCUCUCGGUCUUGCUGCCUUCAGGCUUUAACUCCUCAUAGCUCCCUGUAGAUCAACCUCAUUCCUGCCUCUGGGGCUUUGUGAUGUCAGGUGUCCUCCUGGGAAUGCUCCUCUCCCCACACCCCACCAUGUAAGACCCCUCCCAGGACAUUGCUGCUGGCCUUCCUGGCACGUCCCAGCACUGCCCUGUGCUUCGUGUGGCUUGCUGGCUGCCCUGUGCCCAGGUGGCUUAGGACCUGGCCCCUGCAGGGCAGUGUUCUCUGUCCCACCUGGGUGGGGGCCAUGAAUGCCCCAUGCUCUGGGCUCAGCUGGAGAGCUCAGUGCAGACUGCUGACUCAUGAAGACAAGAAGGAAACAAGAUGAGAAAACCCAGAGAGGAGGCACAGAAGUCUGACACCUCCACGGGCUGCAGGAGUCUCAGAAUGCUGGAGCUGAAACAUCUGCUCAAGAUAUGGAAUGAAGGCCCCCAGGGAAGUGACCGAACAGGCUGAGAGCAGGGGACAGCACCGGCCUGUGCCCCGCUACUUUGAAGGCACGAGCAGUUCCAGCCCUUCCGGGGCCCUUGCCUCCCCAAAGACUGUCUUCCUACCUGGCCUUCUGUGUCCCUGCCAGACCCUGGCCUCCUGAACCCUGGGACAGAGCUGAGAGAUUUCUAGGGGCUGCAGUUGCGCCUCGCAGUGCGGCCGCCUUCCCCUUCCAGGAGGAAAGCAGCCACGCCCUCACUCCACCCACUUUCUCUGGGAGAGCCUGGGCUUGGUACCCCGUGCUUACCAAGGAGGGAGCCAGGCAUGGCCAUGCUGGAGAUGACAAGGGCGAAGAUGCCGUGGGGGCCACACUGGACCAGAUGGACCCUGGCGCUCCCUUGGAAGGAUGGGUCUGGGCCCAGAGCGCUGGCUACUUCCUGAGAACACGCAUCACAGCAUCAUACGCCCGGGGAGAGGAGGAGGGGCAACGAGGCUCCCAGAGGUGGGGGCGCAGAGACCAGACUGAGCCUUUGGGCACAGCCCCUGGUGAGGGGGCUCAGCGAUGUCCACUGUCAGCCUCCGUCCUCACUGAAACUUGCCCGGGUGGCCACCUGUGCCUGGGUCCCUCCCCAUCUUCAGAAAACACCCCUGACUUAACUCAGUCCCUGUACUGAGCCACUGUUUGCCCCUUGUUUCUAUCUGCCUGCAAAUGUCCUACUUAUGGAACAACUUAGAAACAUGUCCCUAUCACCCCAAAUCUGCUGUCCAUUCCCAUGCCAGAUGAUCCUCCCUACCUUUCAGUGACAAGCAGACAGAGCCACCCAGAACCUUCUGGCAGACAAAUAUCCAGGGCUGGCCCUACUUGUGUCCAGGCCCUGGUCCUCUGCCCCUCCCACCUCGAUGAAGCAUCGGGGACCUGAAGACAGCCACGGCCAACAGUAUGGUGGGCAAGAGACGGACCUGCCCUGUGGCCAGAGGUCCAGGCUGGGACCAGAGGCGCAGGCUUGGCUCUGGCAGGGUUUACACCAAUUCUCUGACCAUGCUUGCAGAAUGGAAAUUCACGUGGAUAGCAACAGAUGAGGCAGGGAAGACUGGUUAUCAGAUGGACUUUCUCUUCCACCACCUGGUGUCUUUAGACUUGGUGCCUGGUUUUUCUGCAGUCACAGGUGCCCAGGUGGCUCUCUCUCUUGUCCCCAUUGGGCAGAGGCUGCCCUUCUAUCCCAGCCCUUCCCUAGCUGGGCUCACCCUCUGGAUGCUGUCUCCGGCCUCGCCCUUCACACUCAGGAUCAGCUCUCUGUUGGAGCCCCAGGCCAGGGAGAGCUGGGGGGCCCUGGCCAGACACCGGGCAUCACAGAGCUCUUCUGCUGAGACGUACUGCCAACACCGGCAGCUGUGGAGAGGAGAGGGUGAGAGGCCUGCCCGGUGGGUGUGGAGCAGCUGUCUGCUCCCUGAUGCCCCUCAGCCCUGCAGGCCCGUCCAGAAGGACACGAGCCGUCUAUGCUUCCUAAGCAGUGACUGCACUUUUAAUGGAGGUCCACGAAGGACUUGUGACACUGUGCUCUCGCCCUGCCUCUGCACGAGCUGGGCGUCUCCCAGAAUGCGAGCAGUGCCUGGACAGAGGCACCGCUGAGGCAAGAGUGAGGCGAGAGAGCUCCUCAGCCUGGAGGACUCCUAUUUAUUCAGCAGACCUCCCGGCACAGUGCUCCCCUGCCCCGUGCCUCCCCUGCCUGGGGGCAACUCCGUCCAGUCCACAGGUCAGCUGGAGGACUAGAACUCAGGAGAAAACCAGGGUCCCCCUUGGCUUGACGUCUAGUCAGGGUCAGCUCCCAGCAGCUGGCUGAGGAGCCCGGGGUGCAGACCUCGCUCUUCCUUGCUGCCAGCACCUCUCCAGCCCUGUGCUGCUUGCCCCGGCUGGUGUUGCCUGGCCCCUCACCCCCCUGCCCCUGUCGGGGAGUGCUGACAUGGGAGCUUCUGGAAGGAGCUUGCACUCAGCUCAAUGUCCCAUCAGGGCUGAGUCCUGCCAACACCCUUCUGGACUGGCCCUCUGGGGACGGUCAGGACCUGUCUGGAGGUGGUAGAUUCAUUCUGUUCUCUGUGGCUUUUUGUCACUCACAUGCCCAGUUCAUCGCUGAGCUCCCCACCCAAGGGGUGACAGGAGGAGGAGCAGUUGUGCUGCUGAGGGGACACACACUGGCGGGUGGCAGCCAGGCGAACGUCUCCAGGCGAUCAGCGCUCUGCCACCUGUGGGAGGAGAGUCCCGGCUCUGGCACCCUGUAGGCCUGGGUGGGGGCGCCCUCCGCGUCAGAGACCAUUCCAGAGACGGGAGCAGGGCUGUGAGGAACCAGGCUCCGCUGAGAGGUCAUUAGUAAACACGCUAAGACUAGGGCUAGCUGGAGGGUAGAGGGGAACCACGAAGUGAUAGAAGAUAAGUUUGCUGCCUUGGGGGGAUUCGGGAGGUCUGGCUGGGGAGGCUGGACAGCUAAGAUUACAUCCUAAGAAGUGAGGAUCAGCAGUGACGGUGGUGGCUGGUCAGGGAAGGCUUCCUGGAAGAGGUGAGGGUGAGCCUAGGUCUGAAGCGGGAUUGUUAGAGCAGGACACUACAGGGGGGGAUGGCCAGAGUGUGUCAGGGAACAGGCCCGGUGACUGGCUGGGCUGGUACGGAGGGCCUGCCGGAGGAAGCAGCUUUGGGUGAGGCUGGAGAGGUGGCUGGGUGUUGGUUCCCAUGUUACCCUGGGCCCACAUUAUCUGCCUGCCUCCUGAAAGUGUGGAACCGUGGGAAGGAAGACAGGGCAGCCACAGCCCCUUCGCUGGGGGGUCACGUCAGGAAAGACACAGGCCCACCUGGACAACCCAAUUAUUUAUGCCAGUGGUAGCUAGACUUUCAACCAUGCCCCCCAAGAAUAAAAAAUUAUUGUAAAAUAUAUUACUAUAAUAUAUACUGUACUGUAUAUAAAAUAUAUAUUAAAAUACUUGUGAAAAACUGAAGAGAAGGAAGAUCACUGUGAACAGUUUUGAUGUCUCCUUCUUGAGCACACCCAUUUUGGGAUGGACUUGGUGAGGCCAGAGCCUUCCCUGUUCUCUGACCAGGUAGUAGGGGCGACAGGUGAGGGAGUUUGCCUGUUAAAAUCAGAGAUGAGUCCUGGAUGAUAGCCAUGAAAGAAGCCAUUCCUCUGGUUGAGGAUCUGAUCUAUACGACCCAGGCCGCGUGUCAGAGUCGUACCCCACCUCUAACUGGCUGUGUUACGCCUCUCUGUGUUUCACCCUCUUCAUGUGGAAAGGAGGCAGAGGUGGGCAUUCAGGGGCCAGAGGUGGGCCAGGUAGUAGCCUCAGGCUCGAUGCAGGCAAGGCCAUUCCAAGGCUGUGGGCUAGGAGGCAGCUCUGAGCGGGGUGGAGCCAGUCAGUUGUCCCGGCUGCUCAGUCCUGAGGCAAGGGGGCCUGUGCCCGAGGGAAGGUAGAGAGAUGCAGAGGGUGGGGAGGAUUUGGCGUUCUUGUCUGCGAAGGAGGGAGGGAGGGAGCCCAUCUCCUUUUGUUCUUGUAGGGGCCCUGGCCUUGCCCUGAGUAAGGAUGCGGGGAGCCAGCACUAGCUGGUGAUGUGAAGGACAGGUGCCCAGACUGCUCUAGGGAGCCAGCUCCUUGUCCAAGCUGAGUAUCCUCGGCUGAGCUCAGACUUGAGCAAGGCUUGAGAGCCAGGUUGACUAGAGGUUUUCAAACUUUAGUGAACAUCAGAAUCAUUUGGAGGGUUUGUGAAAAUCCAGAUUGCUGGGUCCCACCCCUAGAAUUUCUGAAUUCAGUGGGUGUGGGGUAGGGCUCGAGGAUUUGUGUUUCUUAACAAAUUUCCAGGUGAUGCUGACAUUGCUGGUGCAAAGACCACACUCUGAGAACCACUAGGCUAGAAGUAGGCAGGAUGCAGAGCCAUUUGUGCAACGGGAGAAGGGCAUGCACAGGGAGGGAGUGCUGGAAAGGUAGGGCCAGAUGACGGGAAGCCAGCAGCGCUGGGGCCACAGCCAGGGGCUGGUAACUAUCUCUAUCCGGUGGAGAGCAAGUGCGUGACUCAACCUGUUGACUGUUCUCCUGUCAAGGGGCAGGAUCUUCGAAGGGCAAGGCAGAGCUGCCUGACGAGGGAUACAGAUGGCAGAGGAGAAAGGUGGUGGGAGAGCACCUCGUUCCUCCUCAGGGUUUUGGAGGAGCUCCUACUGGCCCUGGGUGGCAUAGGCCAGCCUUGGGGUCCUGACUGUCAUCUUGUUCUCUGUGGCUCAAAUGUGGGAUUGGGAGUGACUGAUAAUGGGAGAUCUGGAUUCAAAGGGGAAAUGCCUGAACGGGCCAGAGCUGUCUGAGAUGGAGCCUGGGGGAGGGGCUGUGUGUCAGGGGGCAGCACAGGGGGCUCUCUGUGCCACAGGGCUGGUUGGGUGGAGAGCCCUCCCGAGAUGCUGCUGACUUUUAAAAAGAAAUCAGAUCCAGAGCUUCCAGAGCUGGCCAUGAAGGGAGGGCCUCCAAAUCUUGCUGCCACCAAGGCUGCACGCCUGGUCAGGGGCCGCUGUGGUCGUCAGCUAGCCUGCCACCCAUGCGGGGUGUGGCCCUUCCUGAUGCCUGCAGUGCCUUGUUUCGCCGUGUUCCAGGGACGGACACGGGAAUGCUCACACUGUGCAAGGGCGACUGUGCAGGGUGCUCACCCUACAACCCACAGAGCGGCCCUGUCAGCUCCCACAGAAGGCUCCUCAGUCCAGCAUAGAGGGGGUGGAACGACUGAGUUACUCUCCUCAGACCCUUUAUAAUGCUGAGGUGCUGAGGCUCCAUGAUAAGCAGAAACACGGGUCUUAUCAUGACGUGAGCUCUCUGAGGUCUUCUCAUUUGUGCAGGAGGCAAUCCACCCGGACAAAGGACUGAACUCCAAGCAGACAGCCAGUGAAGGUGCCCGGCUUGCAGGGCAGCACCUGGAUGCUCCCUCCCGUCACUCCCCUCAAGUCUUCCUCUCCUUGAUGCUGCAGGGCAUUACCUGGGGCUGGCAGUCCUCAGCACCAUCACUCUCGUCGCUCUGCAGGCCCCUCUCGUCGGAGGACUCAUGUCGUGCCUGGCAGAUGCAGGAGCCGUCUGACUUCUGGAAGACCCUGUUCAGGCCCCAACAUGUGCAGUGGGAGGCACCUGGGGACAGAGAAGCCCUGUCGUCUGUCACAGGCACCUGGCAGUGAGCCAGAACCUGAGUGAACCCUCCGUCCCUGUCCACAGGGCGCCUGUGGUCCAGGGGGCAAGCAGACGCCCACUGUCCCCAAAGUUGGGGCUGAGACGGUCUUUGUGAGGAUUGGGUGGGAUCUUCUAAAUCAGUCAUUCUCAACCCUGACUUGCACUGCAUUCAUCUGAGAAGCUUUUAAAAAACAUUGCUGUUCAGAUGCCCUUCAGGCCAAUUAAGCAAAGAUCUCUGAGGUGAGGCCAGGGCAUCUCCUUUCUGACAGUCCCUUGAGCACUGCAAUGUGCGGCUGGGGCUGAGCACUGCUGACGCCGUGGAAAGCACUUGACGUCCUGUGGAAGGCGUUGUUCCUUCCACGAUCACGCAAAGCCACGUGGGGUCGGUCCCGAAGGACUGGCACAGGCCUCUGUCUCUGGACAAGAGGAGAGAUCCGCAGAGCCUGAAGGCCGCUCAAGAGGCCUGAAGGAUGGAUGGGAUUAGAAGGGCAGAGCUGGGAGCACAGGAAUUCUCAGCAGGGAAGGUGACAGCUACCCGUGGUGAGCCGUGGUCCGGAAGCAGACGAUCCUCCUCCUGACGUAUUGUCAGAAGGUCAGUAGCAGCCUAACUACAUCACAAUGCCUGUGUCGUUCGCCUCUCUUCACCUCCUCACGCAGGCACUGGAUCAUCUCACAUCAUCGCAAGAGGAAGAAGGAUGGUAAGAAGCCUAAUCAGAACACAAGCCUGAGGAGGAUGUUGGCUUAUUUCAGCAUUCGACCCACAGGUGAUCAAGGGGCUGAACUGUGUUAUGGACUGAAUUGUGUUACCCCCUAAAAGUUUGUGUUGAAGUCCUAACCCCCAGUAUCUUAGAAUGUGACUGUAUUUGGAGAUAGGUCCUUUAAAGAGGUGAUUAACUUAAAAUGAGGCCUUUAGGGUGGGCCCUAACUCAAUCUGACUGGUGUACCUAUAAGAAGAGAAAAAUUGGACACACGAAGAGACCCCAGCGAUGCUUGCACACAGUGGAAAGACCAUGUAAGGACACAGCAAGAGGACGGCCAUCUGUAAGCUAGGAGAGAGGUCUCAAAAGAAACCAAACCUGCUGACACCUUUAUCUUGGACUUCUAGCCUCCAGAACUGUGAGAAAAUAAAUC
ensembl:lncRNA